GGCGGCGUUUUGGGGUGAAAAGCGUCAAAAUGGAGGUUUUGGUGAUAGUGGAGAAUGCGGGGGGGUGAAAAUAGCGAUUUUUGUUCAAUUCCUGGCAAUGGCGAUUUUUGGUGGGUCCCAAAACCACCGUUUUUUGCCCCAAAAUUGUUUACUGACACAAAGUCGUUUUUCCUCCGAAAAACGCCAUUUUGGGGCUCUAAAAUUGCACUUUUUUAAAUGAAAUGAGAAUUUUUGUGUACAGAUUGAGGCGAUUUGGGGACAAAGUGAGAAAGAAAACCCGAAUUUUGGUGCUAAAACGGUGAAAAAAAGCACUGCUAAAAAUCACCAUUUUCGGUCAGGACGGAUUGAGGGAUUACGGGUUGAAAAAGAGGAUUUUUGGGCAAAUUUCUGCCUCAAAACACACGUUUUUGGUUGGAAAAUUCUCUUUUUGAUGUUUUCCCCUUCAGCCUUUCUUUCGAUUCAAAACUUUGCAUUCUCUUCACAGAAAUUAUGAUUUUUGCAGGUUUUCUUUUCCCAAAAAUGGAUUUUCUGACACAAAAUCGUUUUUCCUUGGAAAAACGCCAUUUUGGGGCUCUAAAAUUGCACUUUUUUAAAUGAAAUGAGAAUUUUUGUGUACAGAUUGAGGCGAUUUGGGGACAAAGUGAGAAAGAAAACCCGAAUUUUGGUGCUAAAACGGUGAAAAAAAGCACUGCUAAAAAUCACCAUUUUCGGUCAGGACGGAUUGAGGGAUUACGGGUUGAAAAAGAGGAUUUUUGGGCAAAUUUCUGCCUCAAAACACACGUUUUUGGUUGGAAAAUUCUCUUUUUGAUGUUUUCCCCUUCAGCCUUUCUUUCGAUUCAAAACUUUGCAUUCUCUUCACAGAAAUUAUGAUUUUUGCAGGUUUUCUUUGCCCAAAAAUGGAUUUUCUGACACAAAAUUGUUUUUCCUUGGAAAAACGCCAUUUUGGGGCCAUAAAAUUGCACUUUUUUAAAUGAAAUGAGAAUUUUCGUGUACAGAUUGGGACGAUUUGGGUCCAAAGUAAGAAAGAAAGCCCAAAUUUUGGUGCUAAAACAAUGAAAAAAACCACUGCUAAAAAUCACCAUUUUCAGUCGGAAUGGAUCGAGGGAUUCGGGGCAAAAAAGGGGGAUUCUGGGCAAAUUUCUCCCUCAAAAUACACAUUUUUUGGUCAUAAAAUUCUCUUUUUGAUAUUUUCCCCUUCAGUGCUUCUUUUGAUUUAGAGGCGUCCAUUCUGUUCACAGAAACUGCAAUUUUUGAAGGUUUUCUUUGCCCAAAAAUGGAUUUUCUCACACAAAAUCACUUUUCCUCCAAAAAAUGCCAUCUUGGGGCCAUAAAAUGGCAUUAUUAGUUACAAAACAAUAUUUUUGUGUUCAGGUUGAGAUCCAGGAGAUGAUUUUGGGUCCAAAGUCAGAAAUAAACCCCAGAUUUUGGUGCUAAAACAGAGAAUAUGACCACUGCUAAAAACCACCAUUUUCAGUCAGAACGGAUUGAGGGAUUCGGGGUUGAAAAAGGGGAUUUUGGGCCAAUUUCUGCCUCAAAACAUGAAUUUUUGGUCAUAAAAUGCUAUUUUCGUGGUUUUCCCCUUCAGUGCUUCUUUCGAUUUAGAGUCUUGCAUUCUGUUCACAAAAACUGCAGUUUCUGAAGGUUUUCUUUGCCCCAAAAAUGGAUUUUCUGACACAAAAUCGUUUUUCCUCCGAAAAACGCCAUUUUGGGGCCCUAAAAUUGCACUUUUUUAAAUGAAAUGAGAAUUUUUGUGUACAGAUUGAGGCGAUUUGGGUCCAAAGUGAGAAAGAAAACCCGAAUUUUGGUGCUAAAACAGAGAAAAUGACCACUGCUAAAAAUCACCCUUUUCAGUCGGAACGGAUCGAGGGAUUUGGGAGCAGAAAAGGGGAUUUUUGGUCAAAUUUCUGCCUCAAAACACACGUUUUUGGUUGGAAAAUUCUAUUUUUGAUGUUUCCAUCUUCAGUGCUUUUUUCGAUUCAAAAUCUUUCAUUCUGUUCACAAAAAUUAUGAUUUUUGCAGGUUUUCUUUGCCCCAAAAUGGAUUUUCUGGCACAAAUUCAUUUUUCCUCCGAAAAAACGCCAUUUUGGGGCCAUAAAAUGGCAUUAUUUGUUAUAAAACAGUAUUUUUGUGUUCAGGUUGAGAUCAAGGAGAUGAUUUUGGGGCCAAAGUCAGAAACAAACCCCAAAUUUUGGUGCUAAAACAGAGAAAAAGACCACUGCUAAAAACCACCAUUUUCGGUCAGAGCGGAUCGAGGGAUUUGGGGGCAGAAAAGGGGAUUUUUGGGCAAAUUUCUGCCUCAAAACACACGUUUUUGGUUGGAAAAUUCUAUUUUUGAUGUUUCCAUCUUCAGUGCUUUUUUCGAUUCAAAACCUUGCAUUCUGUUCACAAAAAUUAUGAUUUUUGCAGGUUUUCUUUGCCCAAAAAUGGAAUUUCUGGCACGAAAUCGUUUUUCCUCCAAAAAACGCCAUUUUGGGGCCCUAAAAUUGCACUUUUAUAAAUGAAAUGAGAAUUUUCGUGUACAGAUUGAGGCGAUUUGGGGACAAAAUGAGAAUCGUGCCCCAAAUUUUGGUGCUAAAACAGAGAAAAAGACCACUGCUAAAAACCACCAUUUUCAGUCAGAACGGAUCGAGGGAUUCGGGGUUGAAAAAGGGGAUUUUGGGCCAAUUUCUGCCUCAAAACACACGUUUUUGGUUGGAAAAUUCUCUUUUUGAUGUUUUCCCCUUCAGCCUUUCUUUCGAUUCUAAACUUUGCAUUCUGUUCACAGAAAUUAUGAUUUUUGCAGGUUUACUUUGCCCAAAAAUGGAUUUUCUGACACAAAAUCGUUUUUCCUCGGAAAAACGCCAUUUUGGGGCCCUAAAAUUGCACUUUUUUAAAUGAAAUGAGAAUUUUUGUGAACAGAUUGAGGCGAUUUGGGGACAAAAUGAGAAAGAAAACCCGAAUUUUGGUGCUAAAACACUGAAAAAAAACACUGCUAAAAAUCACCAUUUUCGGUCCGAACGGAUCGAGGGAUUUGGGGGCACAAAAUGAGGUGAAAAAAGCCAAAUUUGGGUCUGAAUUCAGACCGUGUCACAGCGGUGAAGUUUUGCAGCUGUGCCAUACGUUCGAAUGGGGCGGAUUUGCCCAAAAUUUGCAUUUUUGGGGGCAAAAAAAAGAGCUGUGGUUUCGGCCAUGGGUUGAACCGAAACCCCGAAAUAGCCCCAAAACCGCCUUUUCUCCACCCAAAAUCGGGGCUUUCCGACCCAAAGCUGCACUUUUCUCGCCCACAAUCGCAACCCCACCCCAAACUGUUGGUUUUUCACCCAAACUUUCGGGUCCCACACCCAAAACGUGGUGUUUUUCACCCAAAAUCGGUGUCUCUGCCCGAAAUCAAGCCGGUUUUCCCACUCCAAAUUGAAUGUUUUUUACCCAAAACGGAGUGGUUUUGGCCCAAAAAGGAGCGCUUUUCACCCAGAAUUGAGUGCUUUGGCCCCCAAAUUGUCCAAAAUUUGAUGGUUUUCACCCCAAAUUUUAUAACCCUGACCCAAAAUUGAGAAUAUUUCACCCCGAGUGGAGCGUUUUUACCGAAAUUGUAGUUUUUUCACCCAAAAUUGUGGUUUCUUUUAGCCCAAAAUUGAGUGUUUUGACCCAAAACUGAGCUUUGCUCACUAAAAACUGAGAUUUCCGGACCCAUAGGGACCCACAGAAACCCCAUAGAGACCCAUAGAGACCCAUAGGGACCCAUAGAGACCCAUAGGGACCCAUAGAGACACAUAGGGACCCCAUAGGGACCCAUAGAGACCCACAGGGACCUAUAUUGACCCAUAGAGACCCCAUAGGGACCCACAGAGACCCAUAGAGCCCCAUAGGGACCCCAUAGAGACCCCAUAGGGACCCCAUUGAGCCCCAUAGGGACCCAUAGAAACCCCAUAGAGACCCAUAGAGACCUAUAGGGACCCAUAGAGCCCAUAUGGACCCAUAGAGACCCAUAGGGACCCCAUAGGGACACAUAGAGACCCAUAGAGACUCCAUAGGGACCCAUAGGAACCCACAGAAACCCCUUAGGGACCCAUAGGGACCCAUAGAGACCCAUAGAGAACUAUAGGGACCCAUAGAGCCCCAUAGGGACCCAUAGGGAUCCAUAGAGCCCCAUAGAGAACCAUAGAGAACCCAUAGAGACACCACUGAGACCCAUAGGGACCCCAUAGAGCCCCAUAGAGACCCAUAGGGAUCCAUAGAGCCCCAUAGAGAACCAUAGAGAACCAUAGAGACACCACUGAGACCCAUAGGGACCCCAUAGAGACCCACAGAGACCCAUAGGGACCCACAGAGACCCAUAGGGACCUAUAUUGACCCAUAGAGACCCAUAGAGACACAUAGGGACCCACAGAGACUCCAUAGAGCCCCAUAGAGACCCAUAGGGACCCAUAGAGACCCAUUGAGACCCAUAGAGACACAUAGAGACCCAUAGGGACCCCACAGAGACCCACAAGGACCCAUAGAGCCCCAUAGAGCCCCAUAGGGACCCAUAGAGCCCCAUAGGGACACAUAGAGACCCAUAGAGACCCCAUAGAGACCCCAUAGAGCCCCCUAGGGACCCAUAGAGACCCCCUAGGGACCCCAUAGGAACCCAUAGAAACCCCAUAGGAACCCACAGAAACCCCAUAGAUUGACCCAUAGAGCCCGAUAAGGACCCAUAGAGACCCAUAGAGAACCCAUAGAGACCCCAUAGAGACCCAUAGGGACCCAUAUUGACCCAUAGAGGCCCACACAGACCCAUAGAUCCCCAUAGAGCCCCAUAGAGACCCAUAGAGAACCCAUAGAGACCCCAUAGAGACCCAUAGAGACCCAUAGGGACCCCAUAGAGACCCCAUAGAGACCCACACAGACCCCAUAGAGACCCCAUAGAGACCCAUAGGGACCCCAUAGGGACCCAUAGAGACCCACAGGGACCCACAGAGACCCCAUAGAGACACAUAGAGACCCCAUAGAGACCCCAUAGGGACCCCAUAGAGACCCAUAGAGACCCAUAGAGACCCAUAGAGACCCCAUAGGGACCAAUAGAGACCCACAGGGACCCAUACUGACCCAUAGAGACCCAUAGGGACCCAUAGAGACCCACAGGGACCCACAGAGACCCCAUAGAGACACAUAGAGACCCAUAGGGACCCCAUAGAGACCACAUAGAGACCCCAUAGAGACCCAUAGAGACCCCAUACUGACCCCUAGGGACCCCUAGGGACCCCAUAGGGACCCAUAGAGACCCACAGAGACCCACAGAGACCCAUAGGGACCCACAGAGACUCCAUAGAGACACAUAGAGACGCACAGAGGUCCACAGGGACCCAUAGAGACCCAUAGAGAGCCAUAGAAACCCCAUAGAGACCCCAUAGAGCCCCCUAGGGACCCAUAGAGACCCCAUAGGGACCAAUAGGGACCCCAUAGGGACCCACAGAAACCCCAUACAGACCUAUAGAGACCCAUAGGGACCCAUAGGGACCAAUAGAGACCCCAUAGGGACCAUAGAGACCCAUAGGGACCCCAUAGGGAUUCAUAGAGACCCACUGGGACCCACAGAGACCCUAUAGAGACCCAUAGGGACCCCAUAGAGACCCAUAGAGACCCCACAGAGACCCAUAGAGACCCAUAGAGACCCCAUAGAGACCCACACAGACCCCAUAGAGACCCCAUAGAGACCCAUAGGGACCCCAUAGAGACCACAUAGAGACCCACAGAGACCCAUAGAGACCCAUAGAGACCCCUAGGGACCCAUAGGGACACAUAGGGACCCAUAGAGACCCACAGAGACCCACAGAGACCCAUAGGGACCCACAGAGACUCCAUAGAGACACAUAGAGACCCACAGAGGUCCACAGGGACCCAUAGAGACCCAUAGAGACCAAUAGGGACCCCAUAGGGACCCACAGAAACCCCAUACAGACCUAUAGAGACCCAUAGGGACGCAUACUGACCCAUAGAGACCCAUAGGGACCCAUACUGACCCAUAGAGACCCAUAGGGACCAAUAGAGACUCCAUAGGGACUAUAGAGACCCAUAGGGACCCCAUAGGGAUUCAUAGAGACCCACUGGGACCCACAGAGACCCCAUAGAGACCCAUAGGGACCCCAUAGAGACCCAUAGAGACCCCACAGAGACCCAUAGAGACCCACACAGACCCCAUAGAGACCCCAUAGAGACCCAUAGGGACCCCAUAGAGACCACAUAGAGACCCACAGAGACCCAUAGAGACCCAUAGAGACCCCUAGGGCCCCAUAGAGACACAUAGAGACCCAUAGGGACCCAUAGAGACCCACAGAGACCCCACUGAGACACAUAGAGACCCAUGGGGACCCACAGAGACCCAUAGGGACCCAUAUUGGCACAUAGAGACCCAUAGGGACGCAUAGAGCCCCAUAGGGACCCCAUAGGGACCCAUAGAGACCCACAGGGACCCAUAGGGCCCCAUAGAGAACCCCAAGAGACCCCAUAGAGACCUGUAGGGACACAUAGAGACCCAUAGAUCCCCAUAGAGCCCCAUAGAGCCCCACAUCAACUCACAGACGCUCCCCCCACGGGCCGACCAGCGCUCCAUUUUAUUCCAUUCCACAGCGAGGCAACAAAAAUAACACACAAAAAC
ensembl:lncRNA